GAUAUAAUAAGAGUUGUUCUACGCUGUGGCCCUCCAAAAUAUGCAGGUCGCAAUCAAAACAGGUGCCGAGAGAUCAUUGUUGUUGAGAAUCAGAAAAAAUAGUUUCUACUCACUUUAUGGGAGGACUUCGGAGAAAUUGAAGAAACUGAGCUGCAAGCUAAAAUGGGAAAGGAUGAAGAAUUCCUUGUAAUCCUUGGAAGGAAUAUAGGAAUAUCUUCUUAUUAGGGUAUGCACAUAUUAAAAUAUUUGACUUACAUAUUUUUAGUUAAUACAACACUACACAUACAUUGUGCCAUACACGUUUAUCACUGCAAACUAGAUUCAACUCAACAAUACACAUAAAUCGUACUUACCCACAGGCGUUGGAGCUUAUCAACUGGUACUGACUUUUCAGCUUUACUUUUUAACUUGCCCCUGAACAGCAUAUUGAAUACUUUAUUUGGUGUGAUGAUAGGGCAAAAACAAACAAACACAUGCUUGCUAGUUAUGCAUCAACCAGCUUCUCUGCGUCAUCAACGUCUCUCGCAGUAACUCCCACUCAGUAGCAAGUUAUCCCCAUUGCAGAAAUUUCAACACAAGACUUCAGUAAGUGUUUCACUUAUCUAGAUGUGAAUAGGUUUAUUCAUGAAACAAAAUAAUAUACAUCUGCUUUUCAUCUUCCUUGACAGAUUGGAAUUUUCUAUGUUGAGGCCAAAAUUUUUAUUUCAAAUGACCUGCAGAAAUUUUGCGUGCUUGAAUGUUCAGGAUGCAAACAAAAAAGAGCACGAAAGAAAGAAGAGAAUUUGAAUGCAGAAAGUGUAAUCGACAGACAACAUUAGUGCCUCGGCAUUGCGUUUUCACCAUACAUAUAAAUUUCAUCUCGACAAAAUAGAGCAUAUGUGUACAACUAUUAAACUCAAUAUGGUUGCAGGUGUACCUUCCAAAUUGAUCUUACUGAUGGCAGUGGGUCGAUUACAACAGUAAUUUCUGGAGUUAUAACCGAGAAGAUGCUCUCCAUGACAGCAGAACAUAUAUUUGAAACAACUUUGGUCAAUGUUGCCCCUUAUUUAUAUGUAGUAGUAUACUUCAUAUAUGUUUUUGAUUUGCUAUUUCUGCAAAAAUCAGCCACAACUAAAUCGUUUCAGCAUGCAAAACACUAUCUAUAUAAGCAUUCACAUCAGUUUCAUGCUUA